CAGUAGCCGCGGGAACACGUAGGGUGCAAGCGUUAAUCGGAAUUACUGGGCGUAAAGCGUGCGCAGGCGGUUUGUUAAGACAGAUGUGAAAUCCCCGGGCUCAACCUGGGAACUGCAUUUGUGACUGGCAAGCUAGAGUGUGGCAGAGGGGGGUGGAAUUCCGCGUGUAGCAGUGAAAUGCGUAGAUAUGCGGAGGAACACCGAUGGCGAAGGCAGCCCCCUGGGCCAACACUGACGCUCAUGCACGAAAGCGUGGGGAGCAAACAGGAUUAGAUACCCCGGUAGUCCCUGUCUCUUAUAC
rnacentral:rRNA from 1 species